GGAACAGGCUGUUCACACUACUACUGACCACCGAUCAGAUCAGCAGGGGAACAGGCUGUUCACACUACUACUGACCACCGAUCAGAUCAGCAGGGGAACAGGCUGCUCACACUACUACUGACCACAGAUCAGAUUAGAUCAGCCCUUCAUAGGCAGGGGAACAGGCUGUUAACCAUAUUCUCAUUUUGAUUGUUCAUACACUCUUCAAGCCCCAUAUUAAGGCCUACUGUGCCAAUGCUAAUCUGUUCCAUGAUUCACAAGCUCUGAAAAUUCCCAAGUCAGACAGUUUACAGAAAAUGUACUAACAAAAUCUACCGUGUUUUGGAAGUCAGGCUCCCACAGUUACACCAAACAGACUUUCUCUGUGAGUAGAUAUAGAAUCCAAUUCUAGUUCUGUGGGUAAAACCAUCUCCUGUUGCCUAGGGAUUCUGAAAUACAGCAGCUCAGAAACCACAGUUUCUCCUCCACAGGUUCACUUUCCACUCAUCUUCAGGAAACUGUUGGUUGGUGCAGGCCCUUCUCUAUCUGAUGCAAAUUUCAACAGUACAGUAGAUUCUACCAUUGCACAAUGACGCCUACACUUUCCUAACCCAUGGAAGGGUAGAGUAGAUGUGGUAUGUAUAUCAGACGUGUUCAGAGGUGUACUCUUUCAGUGUUCCCUUCCUAAGAGACCCUAAAUAGAUAGACGAUGAUUAACUUUAACUGAGAGGACUUUUGGAUCACACCACCACACACUGUAGAGAUCAGAUACAGGGACCUUAUGUCUGCGCUCUAGACACCUCAGGUCUCAGAACGCCCUGUCUCAGCCCUGCUACCCUCCUUGGUACCUGACAGAGAAACAGCUGGACCUGACCCUGUCUCAGCCCUGCUACCCUCCUUGGUACCUGACAGAGAAACAGCUGGACCAGACCCUGUCUCAGCCCUGCCUACCACUCCUUGUACCUGACAGAGAAACAGCUGGGACCAGACCCUGUCUCAGCCCUGCUACCCUCCUUGGUAC
rnacentral:lncRNA from 1 species